rnacentral:tRNA from 1 species
GCGGAAGUAGCUCAGUGGCAGGGCCCCGGCUAUGUAUGCGGGGAGACACGGGUUCGAUUCCCGGCUACCACU